rnacentral:lncRNA from 1 species
CUCAAGUAAAACUCAAGUAAAGACUUAUUGUUCCUUCUAGAAACCCUUGGAUUUUGAGAUGAAAAGAUGCAGCCUUUCUUCAUGUUUAUGGAACCACAAGGGAUCUCAACAAAGAACUAAGAAGGAAAAGAGGCGAAAUUAUUUUGUCAUUUUCUCCACAAUCUUUAGGGAUUGUGUAUUCCACUUGGAGAUUGAAUGGAAGUGUGUAUCUCUUGCUAGAAUAGCAUAAUGCCAGAAUGUACUGGCAUUUGCUACAGUUCUACAGAUAAUACUACCAGUCCAUUUACAGUUCAGGCAUGCAUUAACUGCCAAUGGAUAUGGUUAUAUAAAAAGGACUUGAACAGAUUUUUCUCCAGAGAAGGCAUACAAAUGGCCAACAGCCAGAGGGUUUUUACUAUAAAACACAUCUGACUGUGAUGAAAGUGCUAGAAGAGAGAGUGAAAAGGUGAAAGAACAGAGAAGCAAGAAAUUCAAGCUCUACUGGACACAUGUGGAACAGAAGGCAAAUUUCUUUCCCCAGGAAAAUCGGAUACUAUAUACUUUAGAGGUGGUAUGCUAUCACUGUUUUAAUACUUAGCUCGCAUAUUUUUAUGUGCAUUUUCUUAUUACUCUUGCUUUCUGAUUUCUAUAAAAACUCUGUUCAAAAUAUUAUAUAUUGAGUUUGGUAUUUUCUUGUCUAAACCCUUAACCUUGUUUUCCUUUAUUUUCAAUAGCCACAAUAUGAAAACAACCUAAGAAUUCUCCUCUAAGCCUUUGAAACUCCUCCUCUACAUUAAACCAAGGUUGGUCCAGCGUUUUCAAUUCACCCACUGUGGCCACCUUUUGGUUUAUAUUCCAGACAACCAACCAAAUUGUUAGAACCCUUUCUAACAACUAGAGCUGCGUGCAACAUUAAAGACAGAAUCUUUGCUUACUAAGCCGUAUCAAUAAAUUCAAUCUGAUCCAACCUUAUGUUCCUUCC